rnacentral:lncRNA from 1 species
CCCGCCGCCGGCCCAGGCCCGAGCGAUCCCGGGCACCCCCUGCUCGGGCCGGCAGCAUGCCCCGCGGGCGAGCCUGGACGCAGGCGGAGGUCAGCAGCCUCCUGUCGCUGGUGGAGGGCUCGGGGGAGGCCGCACUGCUCAUGGCCUCCACGUCGCGACCCAACGAGGCGCUCUGGCGGGAGAUCUCCGGGGGUCUGGCGGAGGCCGGCUACGGGAGCAGCGUGGCCCAGUGCCGCUCCAAGUGGAAGGCGCUCAAGCAGGCUUUCCACUCGGAGCGGGAGACGCGCCGCAAGGCAGGACGUCACUCGCCCCGGCUGCCGCCGCACUACCGAGCCAUGAAGGCUAUCUGGAAGGCGGCCGGGCGGCCCGUGUUUGGUGAACGGAGGCUGCCAGGUGUGGUGAAGCUGCCCUCCAGAAAGCGCAGGUCAGCCCUUGCCACACGCUCUCCAUUCUCACCAAAGACACCAGAGCACAACGUUGGCGAGGACACCUUCAGCACACUGCUGUCACACAUGCUGCAGUGUGCGAAGGACCAGCCAGAGAGUCGCUGUCAGACUGACCUGAAGCAGGAAGGAGCUGAGGGAAAGGCCAGUUUUCCUGGUGAGACAUCCCUGGGGAUGGGAAGAACAUACGAAGUGCUGCCAUUGGCUGCUGCAGCCAUAGGCUCCCAUGAGACAGCAGCCAUGAGUGAGCAGCCAGCAGCAGGUGAAGAUGCAUCAGACACAAGCCUGCAUGGGUCUGGUGUGGCAGGCUUGCUCCAGAAUGUGCAGCAACUACUGGUGCAGAUCCUGCAGACAUCACGGCAGCAGCAGGCACUACUGGAGAGCUUGGCCAGCGACACAGUCUCCCACCUCCACCGUAUCUCCCACAGCCUUGUGCAGGUGGGCGAGACCCUGCACCAACUCCUGCUCCAACCACAUCCUCACCCUAUUGGCCACUAUGUCCCCCACAUGCCCCUUUUUGAGGGUGGCUCCAGAGUACCCUGCUCCUCUGGUGCUCCCCACAUUUCCCCAGACCACAAAGAGGAGCCUCAGCUGUCCCCUGAUGCCAGGUGCAUCCCACCCUAAGUGCCACCAUCACUGGCCCCACGAGCAACAGCUUUGCUAUAGAGCUUGGCACAAAUCUUUAUGUCAGAGGUUCCAGAUAUUUUGAAAGUUUAUACUAGAGAGACAUUUUGAUGAAAUUAAAAAUAGCUUUUCUACCAGUGAUGGCA